rnacentral:lncRNA from 1 species
CCCUGCCGCCUUCGACACCCUGAACUCAACUUGUCAGCUUCUUGAGUUCCUCAACUAUGUUUUUAAUGAGCAGGUCCUUCUCAAAAGAUUCUGGUGUAUAGGAUAUUGGUUGGAUAGAGUGAGGCACAGUCUCCACGUAUAUGGGAUUAUUUUGGUGAGUGCCCGGUGUCUGGGUGUAAUGGUGGUCAUUGGUAGAGUUUUGAGGGUCGGGAAUGGGUUGUGGUGUAUUCUGGGGAGUAUGAUAAGUGGUGGUUGGUGGGUAAUGAAUUGGUUAAUGAUGGUGUUGUGACGGAGUUUGAUGCAGUGUAGGAGGGUUUUGCGGAUGUUGGUUUGGUGUGUUUUGAGGAGGUGCUGGGUUCUUUGUGUUUUUUUGGUUGAUGUCGGGGACAUCCAGGGUGAGUGACAAGUUUUCCAAGUUGAGUACCUGCUCAAGCUCUCCUUGUAGCUCUGAUAUCUUUUGUUCCAACCUCAAGACUAGAUCAUUCGGUGUCGGGGUACUACGACCAUCUAAAGCUUCUGCGUUCUCAGCAUUCUCCUUUCGAAUACCACUUAAAUCGUCCAUUUUUGCUUUUCCUUUGCUUUUUGUAUUACUUGGAGAAGGAGGAGGAGGUGGAGGAGGGCCUCGAGAUUUGGUGUGAUAUGCUGAUGAUGCCAGUAUGAGCGAACCAACCUUAGGGGAUGUGAAUAAAGAAAUAAAGAAAAACAAAAAGGUAAAUAAGUCAGUAAGGAUUCUGAAAUGUUUGCAAUAUUUAAACACAUAUUAGGGGAAUGUAAAUUCAUGUCCUAAUUUGGGAGCCUCAUUGUGCUCGAUAUAGGCCUAGCAACAAAUAAAUUUAGAGCAAUUUAGUGCCAAUAAUUGCCUCAUUUCAUUAAAGUAAAAAUAAACGAACCAAAACAAAACUAAAUAAGACAAUGUCACUACUAGCUCUUUGCCUUAUUACAUUUGAAAAGAAAGAAAGUAAAUCUACUCUACUUGGUCCCAGAAGGACCCUCUCCAGACUGGAUGCUCUUGUCGAUCAACUCUCCCAACUCGCGCAGGUUCAGCAGCAGGAAUGCCCUUGCAAGAUGCCCUCCUUCGUUUCCUUUAGCAUUUUGGCAGUCAGUGACCCUUUUUCUCAUCUUCCCUUCCAACUCCAUUAAACUGUACUCCAAGUAUUCCAGCCAUUCAUUAAUCAUAUCCAUAUUAGCCUUGUGCAGUGCCAUAUGCUCGGCUUCAGACUCUCGAACUCUUUUCUGCAUCUUGUUAUACUUCACCUCUGCUUCAGCAACCUCGUCUAUAACCCUAUUUCCUGGUCCGGUCUUUGGCUCAACGACCCCAGUUAUGUUGUCCUCCAACCACAAAGGGUAAAGGUAUGAGUGUCCUGUGUGAUAUCAGUUUGGCUCAAUAGUAUCCUUCUCCACAAUAAUCUUCAAGGUCCACAUGUGUUGCGCUUCAUUCUUAUAUAGGAUGGCGUCACCUUGGAAAUUGGCUCUGAAGUGACACAUUUUGGCGACCCAUGGUAUGAUUUUUCUCCUGCAUGCUUGUCUCAUAACCCUGAGAGGAGCGUAAGGGUAUAUGCCCCUCAACACGAUCAAAACCAAGUGCGGAAAAAUCCCUGGAUCUAAUGAUGAAUUCAUCGGUAGGGAACCACUCAAACAUCCACUAGACUUGAUCCUCAGUCAAAUUUUCAAAAAACAAUACCCAUCCUGCACUGUCCUCUGGCUGAGCAAACAUGUCUGGAAUAUAAUUCAUUCUUUUGGGAUGAUGGAAGGCUAUAUGAUCAUUCCACGGCCUUCUCGGAAAGUCUUGACGGCAUUGCCCCUUUUGGAGAUGUUCCAACAACCAGACUUGUAGCAGCAAGUUGCAACCCUCGAAGAACCUGAACCCCUUCUGACAUCGCUCCAAAGCCCGGUACAUGUCUGCAACAAUCAUAGGGACGAUAGUGUAUGUCUCCCCCUCGAUCCCGUCCAUCAGAGUUUUGGUUACCAUGGCCAGCCUAGUAUGGAUCAUAUCCCCUUGGAUUGGGAAACCAGCAUGCCCAAGAAACACAUGAUAAACACGAAGACCCUAUGAUGAAUCCAACCUAAAAAAGUGAUUGAUAACUCAUCGUCAAAAAUACGGUAGGAACUGUUGUGGCUGUAUCUUUCAUAAAGGAACUCAAAAGGUAUGUAGGAGUACUUUAGUCAUUUCAAGUUGUCAUUCUUCUUCAGCCCCACCAUUUUCAGAAAUCCUCUAGCAGUGCGGUUUUCAGGUGCUAACAUAUUAGGGCUAUCCCAAGGCAACCCAGCAAAUCCUCCUCUCUCUUCUAGAAGGGGUGUCAUUUUUAUGUUCCCAAAAUGGAACACAGCCCUUUCCUUGUCCCAAAACAUAGUUGCAGCCUCGAUCAGCAUUUUGUUGAGCUGAAGAUCCAUUAGAGAAGGCAAGUUUCCUAGGACUCGUUUCACAUGGUUUUGGUCACAUGAAGGAAGAUCCCUCCACCAAUCUAGCAAAAGUGAGGGUGUGCUAACCAUACCGAAUCUGGGGACCUCGUGCCUCAUUUUCUGCAAAACAAAGAGAGUUAGGACCUUUCCCCCUCCAGGUUCAUCUAUUUAUACCGUAAUGAUUAGCAUAUUGGUACUUAUUUCUCCAAAUUAAUGCACAUAAUCACGGUUACGUCCAUUGGGAUUAUGGAAAACCCGAUGGACUUUUGGACAAGGUUUGUCUUAAAGGGCUAGUAUUUGGACAACAUAUUAACCUGGCUAGGUUUGACCAUGAUGCAUGUACAAUUUAAUCAGAGUAGGGUUGCUAUAGAGGUCUAGACUGGGACCCUCAAGUGGACAACUUGAGGGGGAAAGGCACGGAACCAUCGAAUGCACCGCUGAUCGACCAGUUUUACCGCAAAUAUGCCUUUCCAAAUUUAAAGGGUGAUAUAUAGGAAGAGGAAAAACACUCAUCAAGCGUUACUAUAGGAUUAAUUGCACACGAGUGGAGUAUGAUGUUGAACAUGAUUUAUGCAGUAAUAAAGAGCAUGUUGUCAAGUAUUUGCACGUAAGAAAAUAAUAAAUGCAGUAUAUAAAUAAUUGAAGAGACAGUUACAAAACAAGAAAACAAGGAGACAAGUCAGUUUUAGGAAUAAAGAAUCAUAAAUGCUUGAAAAUAGACAGUUAAAUUCAAAUAAGGGGAAAGGGUACGUGGGAUAGAGCAUGCUUGGACUAAUUCACAAAAGAUAAGUUCAUUAUGGUAAGAGCCUAAAAUAUCCCCAGUAGAAUCGCCACACUGUCGCGCCCCUUUUUUCCCUUUUUGAUGGGGAAGUCCGAGUUUCGACAUUCAUGGGGGGAAUAACUCAUUUUCUUUUGGGAAUUGGAUAUUUGAAGAGUCACCACCUAACAGAUUAUGGUGCGUUAGGACACCUUGACGAAUUAAAUCAUGGACUAGUUUGCAUUACCAGAAAUUAGGGUAAGAGCUCAAAAUAACCUUGAGGGGAAGGUGUUAGGUGCCCCUCGCGGUCCAUAACGGUGGGUCCGGCUGAACUUAAACUAUGUGAAUUAAUCAUUUUAACAAAUAAACAGUUUUAACACGUACUUGCAAGUAAAACGCAUAUUUUGACAUUCUAAGCACAUGUAUGAUUCAAGUAAUGGAACAAGGGAAAAGGUUUGAACAAGUUACACAUAUAUAAACAAAAUUAAAUUUAUUUAAACAACGGGAGUUGGGAAAUAGGGGUCCUAGUAUUCUAGGAGUAAGUGGAAGUGCAAAAUGGUUUGAAAGAGUUUAAAAGAAAGGUCUUAGGAUUGAAAAGAAUUUCUGAAAACCAUUAGUGAUAAAACAGUUUGAGGGAAUGUGUAAAGAAAUAAUUUUGCAAUCAAAACACAAGAUAGAGAACAAACAAACUUUAGGAAGUAACUUUGUCAAGUAGCUUUCACACAAGGGAAGAAGGAUUGGGAAUAUAGAGAGUGCACCUUAAUGGAGCAUACAAACAACAGGAUGCAUAGAGUUUGAAGGGGGUUCUAUGGAACUAGUAGAUUAGAUAGAACCAGGUCAUGCAGCAAAGGAUCACAGCAGAAACAUGUUGAAGCCACUCUGGAGAGAGUAACUUAGCAGGAAUAAGGCAGAAUAAACAAGGAUUUAAAUGGACAUGCUAGGCAAGUGUUAACAAGUGUAGGCAUGCUAGUUACAUAUAAGCAGAGUUUAGAUAAACAAUAAUCAGUCAAACAGGCUAGUUACAUAUGUAGACAUAUUAAACAAGAUGGCAAACAAGCAAGUAAAGUGGAAAUAUGCUAAUCACAUGUUUGAAGAGGCAGUAUUAGGCAUGCUGAGUAAGCAGUAAACAGAAGUAAGAAUGGACUCAGGCCAUAUAAACUAAGACAGUAAAUAAACACAUAGGUUUAGAUUCUUAAAAAUUAAUUAGAAGCAUACCUAGUUAAAGAAAGAAAACACAAGAUGUGAGCAAGGUAUUGUGCAAUUCCCAGCCUUGGCUUGGAGCCGGCUAGAAUAACAGGGAUCACAAGUAGCAAAAAGAGCAGAGAGAGAGCCUUUUAAUGUGUAAAGUGAUAGUUUUUUGAACUAUUAUUCGUAUCUGAAGUUAAAAUAAGAGGGAGUUUAUAUAGUAAUCAAGAGUUAACAAAAUAAGGCAAGAGAUCAAUUAAGUAGCAAUUAGGGAAAUUCAUAAAAUCAAUCACCUACGCAAAAUCAGUAGGUCUCUCCCUUAAUCAAGGGAUAAUCAAAUCAAUAGUAAAAGCAUGACAGAUAUUUAGGAAAAGAAUCAAGUAAGGUUUGGGUAUCGAGUAGGUAAUUAGGGAUAAAUGAACAGAAGUUUCUAUUAAGGAAACAAUAAAUCAGAAUCAGUAAAUAACAAAUAAGGCAAGGGAAAAACUAAUUAAGGCAAGGAGUUCAAUCAAACCGAGUAGAGAAAUAAGUGUCAAAAGUUUUGUUAAGGAAAAGAGUCCAAAUCAAACCAGGAAAUAAGAACUUCAGAAUAGUCAAGGGUUCAAUCAAAGAGAAAAUCACAUAAAGAGUCAGCAAGAUCGUAGACAAAAUAAGGCAAGAAAUGAAUAGUUAGGAUUCGACACAUAACUUUAACGAAAUAAAUUGGUAAAUCAAGAAAACGACACUGAUUUAAGGAGAAAAAUACAGUCUUAACAUGAAUAGUCAGAAUGAAUAUAAACAUAUAGAAUCAGUAGGAAAGUUGAACUAAGAAACUCAGUAGAGGCAUAUUAGGAUAAGAAAGCCACGGGACAUCUAAAUGGCUAAAGAAAUAUCACAAGAACCAAGGCAAGAACAAAGUCAGUACAUAAGUACUUAGAAACCAAACAAAGAAUGUAGAAGAAAAAUUAGGGCUUUUAGUAUAAACGAGUUAAGGUUAAAGCAAACCUUACGAAACCAGUCAAGACACAUAAGAACCAAAAGAUCAGACACUCAAAACUAUCAAACAUUUUUGGAAAAUAAAUUUUCGGAAACCCUGGUUUUGGAAAAGAAAUUUUCGGAAACCCUAGUUUAGGAAAAUGGAAAACCAUUAGAAAAUUAGAAGAUCCUUAUAAAAAUCAGAAGGUUAUUUGUAAAUAUCAUAUGAAAUAGGUCCAAACAUCUCAGAUCUGUACAGAUCUAAGAAGUUUAGAAGAAAUUAGGGUUUCAAGAAGAACAACAUAGAGGUGAAGAAGCAAGCUCAGAAACCUAUAGAUCUAAGGCAAUAUAGAAAGCUCUUACUCGGAAUCACAUCGGAACAACUUGAAAUAGGAGAGAAAGGACCGUAGAUGCAAGCAAACUAACCCUGGUCCCUUGAGGACCCUGGAGAUGGUGAUACCAAUACAAGAGAGGUCAUUAGAGGCCUGGGGGUGGUGAGAAACCACCGUAGAUAUCCAUAGAUGAGUGACGCCGAGAUCCGAUUAAGGUUAGGUUUGAGAGAAUUUGAGAGAGUAAAGGGAUUUUAGGGCAGCUAUGUGGUGAGAAAUGAGAGGGUUUGGGGGGGUUGUUUAGUUUAAUUUAGGAAAAGAUGAAUCUGGACCGUUGAUCAAAAUGAUCAACGACAAGGAUUUGGCCGGGUAUUGGGUCAAGUAGACGAGUAUUGAGCCUAGGGUAGGUUUAGGUUGAGAUUGGGCUGGGUAUUGGGUCAAAAUUAAGGCCAAAUUUGAAAUAAAAUAAGGCCAAAUUUUAAAUAGGCACUUUUAAUAACUAAAUAAUUUAUAAAAAAAUAAUAAAUGAGUAGCAAAAUAUCGUUGGGUACUAAAAUAAUUUAAAAUAGUUAUUUAAUAUUUUAAAAAUAUAAAAGAUCAUUUUAUGCAUAAAUAAUAUAAUUAUACAUUGGUAAUGGCUAUUAUUGCAAAUAUGUGUAAUUUAGCUUAAAAUAUAAAUAUAAUUACGAAAAAUGCACAAAAAAUAUUUCUAUACUAUGUUAGCAUAAAUAAUGAAUUUGGAUGGCUAAAUCAUUACAAAAGUAAAUUUGAAGGAUAAUUAUUGGAUAUUUAUAUAAUGAAAAGAAGAGAAAUAAAUUGAUUUGGAGCUUUUAAAACUGUAGAAAAAUUAUAAAAAAAACUUAUGCAUGCUUAUAACUACAUAUGUACUAUUUUGAAAGCAUAUAUACAUGUUUAAAAAAUAUAUGAGAAAAAAUUGUGUAUCAACGAUGAUCACAAUUCCUUCUAGGGGAAAGAGACUUGGGUUCUUCAAAUACAUUUGAGAAUGCAUUGUAGUCAUUGUAGGGGAAGGUUUUCCACUAUCAGGCUUGGUUUCCAUGACAGAGAGAUGGGCAAAACAACCGCAUAAGUUGUUCUUAAGCAGUUUGGGCAAGGUUCUACCUUCUAUUGAGAUCAAUCCAACCUUAUCUUCCUUGCCUAAUAGAGUAAUGAAUCUGCCCUCCUUAAAGAAUGAAAUAUUGUGAGGUCUUAUAUGUAGUACGACAGGGCUAAAUAUAUCCACCCAAUACAUUCCCAAAACCAAGUCGCAACCACCCACCUUCAGCAACCUCAUAUCACACCAAAAUUCCUUUUUCUGUAUGCACCACUAAAAGUUGGGGCAAAGUUGUUCACAUCUCAUAGUGGUUACAUCAGCUAUAGACACAAGCAUAGGUCUUUUGCAAGACAUCACUGGUAGCCUCAACGUUUUUACAAUUUGAGGAUUAAUGAAGCUAUGUGUAGAGACACUAUCAAUGAGGAUAAUGAGUGAAAUAUUCUUCACUGUACCAACUAUUUUAAUAGUACUAGGGUAUUUAAACCACCAUACAUCAUAGUAAGAGACACUUCCCUAUUUUCUACUUCCAACUGUUCCUCGACAUCUUAGAAUUCCCCAACUGCAACAUCAUGGAAUUCCUCUCCAUUUGCAAUCUCAUUUAUAUUUAUCGUGUCCAAUAUAUUAAGCUAUUUAUAAUUGGGUUUACAUUGAUGGCCUAAGAAAUAGGGUUCAUGGCAUCGGAAGCAUAGGUUCUUUUCUUUUAGCAACUCAUAGGAAGGAUUCUUUUGGUUGUUCUAUUUGUGAGGUUGGCUUCGGUAUUUUUGAGUAUGGUUAAAUGGAGGUUUGGGCUGGUACAGGUUUUGGAUAAGAGAAAGUGGUUUAUGGCUGUUUGUUCUGGGCAUUAAAAGACUCUUCAUGGAACUUGGCAAUUUCAUAAGCAUCCAUCACGGAAGAAGGGUUUGCUACUCUCACCAAUGGCUUAAUCUAGUUUAAGAAUUUUCACGAAGCUAGAAAUAAAAUACAUCUCCCUCAAUGAUAGAUUUACAAUCCUCAUAUGAGUCCUCAUCUCUUCAAACCUAUCUUGAUAAGCAUCAACACUCCCUGUUUGCUUAAGGCUUCUAAAUUCAUCGAUAUCAUCCAGAGGUCUGAGAUUGCCAAACCUCCUACAAACUUCUACAGAAAAUUGCUCCCAAUUCAAAAUACCAUCAUUGUCUAGCAAGAAGUUUUUGAACCACAAGUCCAUCUACUCUUUUGCAUUAAAAUCUAUGUAGUCAAUCCUCUGAUAAUUCGAAACUUGGUAAAUGCGAAAAAAUUUGUUACACCUUCUCAACCAGCCUUGAGAAUUUGUGGCGUCAUUAUCCGAAAAGGGAAGCUUAGCUUUGGGUUUGUUUAGAGGUACAAUAUGGUUAAUCUGAGUUAAAGGGUUUUUUGUGGGGUAGAAAGCAUGGCAGGGUUAAGAUUUGAGCUCGAAUUGUUUGGGAUGGGGAUUUGUACUGUACUUGAUACCAAGGGGUCAGUAUUAUGGUUUGAAGGAUGAUUCGGUGGUAUGUCUAAGGGUUGAGAUAAUAUUAGGGUAGGGUUUGCAGCACUCGAUCCCUGAAGUUGAACAGAGAUCGCCGAUAGCACUAUACCUUUUGAAUGUCUUGGGUUAGGUAUAAGGGUUGAUGGGGGUGUGGGGAGAGGUGAAAUUGAGAAGGGAAUUUGUUGAAUUGAGCCAUGCGAUCUGAGUAAUUAGGAAUUUCUUAGAGAGAAAUUGAGUAGAAGAGGAAGAAGAAACUCGUUUCUCAUUUUUCAAUUAAAGGCUGAUACACAGCUUAUAUACAGACCUCUCUCAACUCACAUACGUGCACAUCACAUGACCUUUUAACUAACUCUAAAACUGAUUUUAACUAAUGACUAUGUCAGCUAAUCAUAGUUAGUGCUAGUGCUAACAGUGCUAACAGCUAAUGUUCUGCACCACUCCACUUCUGCUUCAUCACUCCACUUCUCUAUAUUCAUUACUCCCCCUCAAGCAGGAGGGUAAAAGACAUCGAGCACUCCUAGCUUGGAGAGAAGAAGAUGGCGUUGACUAACUCCCAAACCUUUUGUAAGAAGGUCUGCAAGUUGAGACUGUGUGGCAAUGUAGUUGGUCUCAAUAAGUCUUUCCUUUACCUUUUCCCGAACAAAGUGACAAUCAAUAUCUAUAUGUUUGGUACGCUCAUAGAAAGUGGGGUUUGCAGCAAUCUGGAUAGCUGCUUUGCUAUCAGAGUGAAGUUGAAUUGGUUUGGAAACUACCAUACCUAUGUCUUGCAGUAAGCCGACCAACCAUAUAAUAUCUGCCACACUUGUUGCCAUACUCCGAUAUUCAGCUUCAGCAGAACUUCUACUGACUGUGUGUUGCUUCUUUGUCUUCCAUGAGACCAGAGAAUCACCUAGUUUAAUCACAUACCUGUGACUGAUCGCCUAGUAUUGGGGUAUGCUGCCCAAUCAGAGUCACAAUAAGCAGUCAAUUGAGUGGCUAGCUUAUGGCUGAGAAAAAUUCCCAAACCUGGGCUGCUUUUAAUAUAUCUCACCACCUUUAAGGCUGCUUCCCAGUGUGAUUUCUUGGGCUGCUGCAUAAAUUGACUAAGGACCUGUACAGUGAAGCAGAUUUCUGGACGUAUGAUAGUAAGAUAAAUCAAUUUACCCACCAAUAUUUGAUAACCUGACAUUUCUUCGAGUAUAGGGCCAUCAACUACUCCAGUCAAUCUGUCGAAUUCUACAGUCGUGAGUCUUGCGCUUGCUUCAAUUGGUGUGGAAGCUGGUUUUGCACCACUAAGGCCCACAUCUAAGAUCAUUUCUAAAGCAUACUUUCUCUGAUUGAGAAGUAUUCCCUAUUUUGACCUUAACACUUCAAUCCCUAGGAAUAUUUGAGUUCUCCAAGAUCCUUGACUUUGAAAUUGUUAUGUAGAACUUGUUUUGCUUCUUCAAUGAGGUGUUUGUUGUUCCCAGUAAUAAGAAGAUCAAAAACAUAGAUUAGAAUGAUCAUGAGGGCUUUGACAGUAUCCUGCUUCCACCAAAACAGAUGUGAGCUUGAUAUUCCAUUGCCUCAAUGCUUGUUUGAGACCAUACAAGGAUUUCAAGAGCUUACAUACCCUAUACUCCCCCUACCUGUGAAAGCCUUAUGGCAACUCCAUAUAGACUUCUUCAUAUAAAUCCCCUUGAAGAAAUGCAUUGUUGACAUCCAUUUGGUAUAGGCACCAAUUCUUCGAGGCUGCCACACUGAUGACUGUUAACAAUGACCAUUUUUGCAAUAGGAGAGAAGGUUUCAUAAUAGUCUGACCCUCUCUUUGUGUAUAUCCCUUAGCUACUAGUCGUGUCUUGUACUUGUCAAUCUCACCAAUGGCUUUGUAUUUAAUCUUGUAAAUCCACUUUGAACCUAUAGUUUGCUUUCCCUUAGGUAAUGAAACUAACUCCCAAGUUUUGUUCCCUUCCAGUGCAUCAAUUUCCUGUUGCAUUGCCAAAAUCCAAUUAGGAUCUUGAGAAGCUUCUUUGAAUGACUUAGGCUCAGUUGAUGUAGAGAAAGAUCCCAAGUAAGCUUGAUAAUUGGGAUGAAGAUGAGUGUAGCUGACAUGCUCGGAUAUAGGAUAAGAGCAGUGGGCUUUUGAUUUUCCAGUAGUGAUGUAAUCAGUGAGCCAAAUUGGUGGUCUAGUUGUUCUGCUUAGCCUGCCAUGAGCAGUCCCACCUUCUUCAUGUUGUUGGACUGCUUCAGAUGCUAAUUCCACAGUAGCAGGAGAGAGCAUGAAGACAUCAGAAACACAAGGUCGUUUCUUCAAUAAACAACAAUACAAGCAGAUACUGAACAUGCUGAACAAACCAACAUCUAGUGAUAAUGUAGAUAAUAUAACAGGUAACAUUGCAGGUAUGACCUCACUGCUAUCCAAUGACUUUGAUUAUGAAUGGAUAAUAGAUAUAGGGGCAUCUUACCAUAUUACACCAUACAAGGAGUUAUUAACCACCUUUAGAACCUUAAAAAAUCCAAAAUAACAAUAGAGUGCAAGUUCCCAUAGGUGGUAGAGUAGAAAUCACAAGUAUAGGAGGUGCAGUGAUUUUGGGAAGCUACAAGCUUGAGAAUGUACUUCAUGUGCCAGAUUUCAAGUUUAAUCUACUUUUAGUGUCCAAGAUAACCAAACAACUUUGUUGUGUGGCUUUGUUCUUUCCUGAUUUUUGUGUAUUCCAGGGGCUCUUCAAUGGGAAGGUUCUGGGGAUUGGUAAAGAAAAGGAAGAUUAUACAUACUGCAAGAAAGAAUAAAAACUACAAUUGGAGCAGCAGUGCAUAAGGAUGAUGAUUGUGGAAAGCUAUGGCAUUGGAGACUUGGAUAUCCUUCUAUUGGAGCAAUGCAACAUAUUACAGAUGUCAAAAUGAACAGUUAAGCUGCUGUGAAAUUUGCCCUCUGACAAAGCAAAGUAGACUAAAGUUUCCUGUUAGUGACAGUAAUUCAAACUGUAUUUUUAAACUGUUUCAUCUAGAUGUGUGGGGACCUUACAGGAAACCUACAUAUAAUAAAAGAAACUAUUUUGUUACCAUAGUAGAUGAUUACAGUAGAUACACUUGGAUUUGCCUGAUCCAAUCUAAAUGUGAGGUGAUUGUAGUGUUGAAAAACUUCAUUGCCUUAAUAAAGAAUCAGUUUGAUAAAACUGUUAAAAUCCUUAGAUCAGAUAAUGGUAGUGAGUUCUUUAACUCAAGUGUGAUGAUCUUUUGUCUUCCUAUGGUAUAAUUCAUCAAAGCAGCUGUCCAUACACUCUACAACAAAAUGGAGUUGUGGAGAGAAAGCACAGACACAUUCUAGAGGUAGCUAGAGCCUUAGCAUUUCAGAGUUCAAUGCCUAUAAAGUUUUGGGGAGAUUGUGUGAGGAUUGUUGUUUAUCUGAUCAAUCGACUGCCUUCUAAAGUGUUGCAAGGAAAAACACCAUUUGAGCUACUGCAUGGCAAGCUGCCUCAACUAUCUCUGACAUGUUAAUCGUACAGAUUAUCAGCUUAUUGACAUCUCUGAAGAUGGAUUUGUGAGUCUGCUCACUGAGAAUGGUAACACCAAGGAUGACCUUAGGCUUCCUACUGAUGACAACCUCCUUACACAGAUCAAGGAUGGUUUUGCUGAGGGAAAAGACCUUGUUGUGUCUGUCAUGUCAGCCAUGGGUGAGGAGCAGAUUUGUGCCCUGAAGGAUAUUGGUCCCAAAUAAAUCUCUCGAUUGGAGAUUGUUCGAUGAGAAGUUCUUUACUACCUUAAGUUGGAUAGAUAUUAUAGUCAUGGAAAAAGGUAUGGUCUUAUGGACCAACUUGUUCAAGAAUAUUCUUCAGGAUUCUCGGACCAUUGCGAGUUAGAUUUUCGUAUUUUUGUUAUUUUAACUUGUGUUCGUCUGAAUUUUGUUCUACCUUAAAACUUUCUUCAAAAAAAAUAAGGUCUGAAUCCACUGGUUUGUGAUCCUUUCUUUUUGCUUUUAAAAUCCUGUGGGUAACCAACAAUUUAGUAACAGUUUUCCUUCAAAUGUCCCUUAUAACCACAAUGCUCACAGAUUAUACCAACUCCAGCCCUUUUAGGUUUAGGACUCUGGUAGGUUCUCCCUGCUAACAUUGUCAAUGGAUCUUUGUUAACAUCUACUACACCUAACAAUCUUUGACUCUCCUUCUAAGAAAUAAUUGCAUAGGCUUCAUUUACAGACACUAUAGGUCUCCUUGCAAGUAGAUUACUUCUUAUAUUACUGUGGAUUUAUUAAGUCCCAUAAGGAACUGCAGCAAUCUCUGUGAUCUCAAAUAGACUACAUAAGGCAGGGAUUCUUUACAAUCAAAGGAAGGAAGUGGGGUUAAGACAUCUAACUCAUCCCAACAAUUCUUCAUUUUAGAGUAAUACGAAGUAACAGACUCAGUUUCUUGCUUCAAAGUGGGAAUUUCAGUCCACAAAUGAAAUAUCCUAGUUAAAUUCGAUCUAUCAAAUCUCUCCUCAAAUUCACUCCAUACCUUCUUAGCAUUAGAUGCAUACACAAUGCUGGCCAUCAAUUCCUCUGCAACGGUGCUUCCUAUCCAUGAUAGAACAAUAACAUUGUACUUCUCCCAUUGCUCCGCUAAUUCACCCUUGUACAUGAUUUUAACACAGGUUCCGUCCACAAAACCUAGUUUUCCUUUGCCUCGAAGAGCUAAUUUCAUUGCUCUACUCCACAAAGCGUAUUUGUUUGGUCCUGUGAGCUUCAGCUGUAUUAAGUUAAGCCCAGGCGAAUCUCCAGGUUGAAGAUGCAGUGGAUGAUUGUGAUCUAAUGAAGUAACUUCAUUUCCUGCCAUUUUUGGUGAAAAAUCGAGCUUCACGAUCCUCUGCAAUCAGCUAGGAAAUUACACGAACUAUGCUUUGUGUUCUUCUGUAGGUCUCGAUCUAUUUCAGUGCAUGUGUUUUCCUCAAUUCACCCGCUCUGAUACCAUGUUAAAUUGAGCCAUGCGAUCUGAGUAAUUAGGAAUUUCUUAGAGAGAAAUUGAGUAGAAGAGGAAGAAGAAACUCGUUUCUCAUUUUUCAAUUGAAGGCUGAUACAUAACUUAUAUACAGACCUCUCUCAGCUCACACACGUGCACAUCACAUGACCUUUUAACUAACUCUAAAACUGAUUUUAACUAAUGACUAUGCCAGCUAAUCAUAGUUAGUGCUAGUGAUAACAGUGCUAACAGCUAAUGUUCUGCACCACACCACUUCUGCUUCAUCACUCCACUUCUCUAUAUUUCAUUAGAAUUGGGCCAGAAAUAGACUCGGUACCUUUUGAGGAGCCAAUUUGCGCGCUAGUAGCUGCAACUAGGUAAGAUCGUUGUGAAGCUAGUGGUUCUGACCUUUGUUGUGCUUCCCGCUGAAUGAAUAACUGCUCCAUUCUUUUGCCAGUUUCCUCUAUGCUCCAGCAACUUGCUUUAGUCUCUAUUAAAGCAGUUUUAACCUGAUUUUGUUCGAGCUCUAGUUUCUCAAACUUUUUGUUAGUGUCUCCCAUAAACUCUUGAAGUUGAGCUUCAAUUUUUCGGAUUGGCUCGUCGGAGCUUUGAGAUUUUCUGGUAGCUCCGGUCAUUGUCGUGGUGGUCCGAGAUCGCAGGGCUAUACCAAAUAUUGUGGUAUCGGCCACAACGCUAACAACGCGAGUGGAGAGGAAGAUAGAGGGAGAAAUAAGAUGAGAGGAGAGAAUAAUAUUUUUUCAUUAAUUUCCAAAUGCUCUGUACGAGUACACAUAAAUCAGUGUAGUUGCCAGCUCACUAACUAAUUACAAGGACUUAACUGUAGAUAUAAAAACUUGUGGGUGUACCCACUUGAUUUGAAAACCUCUAUUUCUCGUACUUACUUAAAAACAACCUAUACUUAGUGAUGUUUUUCUUAGAGCUAAUUUUUUAAGUUAUAUUUUACCUAUAAUAGCUUUUUACCUAUAACAGCAACAACCAUAUUUAUAGCUGAACGCUCUUUGUAAAAUUAUCUCUUUAUAAUAGCUAUAUAUAAUCUUUAAGAUUACUAAUAAUAAUUUCAAAAAUAUGAUCACAAUCUUUUCCAUUGAACAAAGUUUCUAUCUUGCAUAAGACAUAAGAUUUGAAGAUCCGCACAUGAUAUAUUUUUCAUUGGAUACCUUUUUGUUGAAAAUCUGGACACGAAUCUUCACUAAUCCAAGUGUUAUAUCGGUAGUAAGAGAAUGAAAUCUAUGAAACAACUACAAUUACAAAGUUCUUUCAUCAAUCUUGAAAGAAUUUAUUUUAGUAGCUUUAAAAUGUGUGCCUUAGAGUUUAAAUCUUCUUAUGUUUAAUUAAUAUAUUUAUUAGUAAUGUAUUAGCUUUCUUCAAUAUAUACCUAGUGAAAUAUGCAUAUCUCCUUACAUUUUAAAUUUGAAGAAUUUUCUUAUCUUUUAUAUGUAACAUUAAAAAAAGAUUGGAUAAGUUUUAUCUAUAACAGCCAAAAAAUAUCUAAACGUCAAAUGUUAUUAUAGGUGUAUAACAGCCAUUCGCUAUAAAAGCCAUUCGCUAUCUAAACGUCAAAUGUUAUUGGAACAAAUGAGGUUGUUAUAGAGAUGUUUGACUGUAAUAUCAAAUAUUAAGUUGCCUUGCAACAUUGAUUUUUUUCUUCUCAAAAUAGGUGUACUGUUGGUUUUGUCGUACGAAGUGGUGAUCAAUAUGCAACGUCCAUCAACACAAUAAUGGGAAUUUGGAAGCACUUCCAAUGGCAUAGGGCAUGAGUCCGAAACUGAAAUAGUGCCAUUUUUGGCAAAAAUACAUUUCUAUUUCUUUUAAAAAAGUUACAUUUCUACAUAAAAUGCAGUAUAAUACUGCAUUUCACUUUAACGGAAAGUUAGCCGUUAAAGCUAAACGCAGUAUUAUACUNNNNNNNNNNNNNNNNNNNNNNNNNGCUGAAGAAUAACUCUGUGAGGUAUAGCUCACCUUCACAGUGUAAUGUUAAAUUGCCACUUAUAAUGGAAUACGAUAAAUUGGUAUCGUUGUUACGUAAAAAAAAUGAGUGUGAGAAAACGUUCGGUUAACCUUAAAGUAACCGGUAGAUUUCCAUAUUCAUUGACUCCACAGGGGUUUGCUUAUUAUUCUUAGUUUAACAUCGAAGAUGAUGAAACUCUUAGAGAUUUUUUGCGGAUUCCGGAUGAAUACAGGAAAUUUAUUGUAAUAAAAUUAUUAGAAAUGUACGUCAAGGUUGAAGAUGUUCCCAAUAAUAAGGGCGUGCAUAGUAGGGAUAACCCCCAGUCAUCGGGUGGUUAUUCUGGAGCAGUUUUUGCCGGACAGAUUGCUGAUGAAAGAGCAUGUCUUGAUUUAAACUUGUCACCACCGGCGAAUGAGCAGCCACAAAAUAAUUUUUUGACUUUAUAUAAUCCACAAAACGACUAGUAAACUUCAAUUUUUCUACGAUUUAGCGAUGUUUAUUUUAUGUUUUAAUUGGAUUUGUAUUAACAAUCAUAUUUUUCAUAGGGGGUACCAUCCGGAUAUGAAUUUUACAAGUUAUGACCCCGCCCCUAGUUGGAAUAUGGGUAGUUCUGGCGUAUUGGACCACGGUAGUCCAUCCGGGAGUCAUCACCAACAAGAAAAUAUCCAUCAUGAAACGUCAAGACAGUACAACUUGUAAAUAAAGUGAUAUAGCUAUAUGUAAAGUAUUUAUCUAGUUGGGUAGCUUAUCAUUUGUUCUUUUUGUGCAGUGAAAACGAGCAUCUUGGUGUUCCUGACCUCACACAGCUGCCCAUAGACGAUGUACUGACUCGUGAUUUGGCAUAUGCGUAGAGUCAGGAAGAUGAUAGUGAUUAUGACAACAAUGCGGAUGAGUUUGGAGAUGACAUACCCUUCCCUGAUGAGGGUGAUGACGAGGAGGAAGUAGAUGUCGAACCUGAGUUGAUGAGGGAGCAUGCUCUUCAACCUCCCACUAGACCAAGAGUGUACAAGUCCCACGUGCCAUUUCAUGAGCGGAAUAUUCCGUACCUUGAUAAUUUGCCAAGUAUGUCGGACGUGGAUGCCCUCACAAGGGAUGAUGACAAAAUUCGGUCAGCGAUGUGGGAUGAUUCUAGACCAGCGGUGCUGGGAAAGGGCAUGUAUUUCCCCAAUAAAGCUCGCCUAGUUAGGGUUGUAAAAAUCUACAGUGUAAGAGAGUGUCGUGAGAUGACGGUAAGUGAGUCAACUAUAGAGGUAUAGAAGACUGUAUCCGUAGAAACUUUACGGGUUGUCACUGGAUGUUGUGUGCCAACAAGAAGAAAUCAGGUUUGUGGAAAGUGGGUAAAUUUAUUAGCACCCACAGAUGUGAAAUGGACAUAUUUAAUGAGAAUCACUUCAACGUGGAUGUGGACUUGAUUUCUCUAGUCUUGAUUCCAUAUUUGGAAGUAUCCAUUAGGUUCAAGAUUAAAAAGUGUAUCACAGCCGUCCACCGGGAGUAUGGUUGUACUAUAACUAAAAGAAAGGCAUAUCUCAGUCGCAAACGUGCCUUUGAACUUAUUUAUGGCGACUGGGAUAAGUCUUCUUCAUCUCUGCCCAGGUACAUGGCCGUACUGCAACACUUUAACCCUAGGAGUGUUGUUGAAUGGAGGCGUGAGCAGAGUCCGGAUAGACCCGAAUAUAUUUUCAACUAUGUGUUCUGGUCAUUUAAAGCAGCAAUUGAUGGUUUUGUGCAUUGUCGUCCUGUAAUUUCCAUAGACGGUACUCAUGUCUAUAGAAAGUAUGAUAUUAAGCUUUUGAUUGUAGUUGCAGUAGAUGCCAACAGACAAAUAUUUCCACUUGCUUUUGCCAUUUGUGCCAACGAAAGCGAAGAGACAUAGAUGCUUUUUUUGAACCACUUGAAGGAGCACGUUGUCAAACAACGUUCAGGUAUUUGUCUAAUAUCUGAUCGAUAUAGUGGUAUUUUAAGUUUUGUACGGCACUUGCCUGAAUGGCAGGAACCCUAUGUAUACCACCGUUACUGUGUGAGGCACCUGAAGGCCA